rnacentral:rRNA from 1 species
CAGUCGAGCGAACAGACGAGGAGCUUGCUCCUCUGACGUUAGCGGCGGACGGGUGAGUAACACGUGGGUAACCUACCUAUAAGACUGGGAUAACUCCGGGAAACCGGGGCUAAUACCGGAUAACACAUGAAACCGCAUGGUUUCAUGAUGAAAGACGGUUUUGCUGUCACUUAUAGAUGGACCCGCGGCGUAUUAGCUAGUUGGUAAGGUAACGGCUUACCAAGGCAACGAUACGUAGCCGACCUGAGAGGGUGAUCGGCCACACUGGAACUGAGACACGGUCCAGACUCCUACGGGAGGCAGCAGUAGGGAAUCUUCCGCAAUGGGCGAAAGCCUGACGGAGCAACGCCGCGUGAGUGAUGAAGGUCUUCGGAUCGUAAAACUCUGUUAUUAGGGAAGAACAAGGAUGUAAGUAACUAUGCAUCCCUUGACGGUACCUAAUCAGAAAGCCACGGCUAACUACGUGCCAGCAGCCGCGGUAAUACGUAGGUGGCAAGCGUUAUCCGGAAUUAUUGGGCGUAGAGCGCGCGUAGGCGGUUUUUUAAGUCUGAUGUGAAAGCCCACGGCUCAACCGUGGAGGGUCAUUGGAAACUGGAAAACUUGAGUGCAGAAGAGGAAAGUGGAAUUCCAUGUGUAGCGGUGAAAUGCGCAGAGAUAUGGAGGAACACCAGUGGCGAACGCGACUUUCUGGUCUGCAACUGACGCUGAUGUGCGAAAGCGUGGGGAUCAAACAUGAUUAGAUACCCUGGUAGUCCACGCCGUAACGAUGA